rnacentral:lncRNA from 1 species
AUGUCAACAAUUUUUUGGAGAGAGAAGAGGUACUCCCUUAUAGGGACUCGUAAAGACAUAGAGCAUCUAGAGAUUUACUGCCUCCAUUACGCUGCUGGCUCUCGCAGCACUUGUUAUGUUUUUAUCAGUUUCUCUCCAGAAGAUCAUAUCAACCAAAUAGGAGUUCAUAAUCAAAAUCCAGCAAACACAUAAGAAAAUAAGCGAGAGCAGAAAAGACAAAUUGCAGAUGUAGCCUCCACCCUGCCCAGGAUUAAAAGGUAUUGCAAUUAGCUGAUAUAGAAUAUAUAAAAACAAAUUUGAAAUGUUUAAAAAAAAUAAACUGGCAGAAUUGAACUUACA